GUGAAUCAUCGAAUCUUUGAACGCAAAUUGCACUCUCUCCGGAGAGUAUGCCCGUUUGAGGGUCAGCCUAAAAAAAAUCGACAUAGUCGCUGUUUCGCGGUGACAUUCGUCGGAAAUUGGGUCAUCUUAAACCUUUGGGUUUUAAGUGGCUUAAACUUUUCUUUACGAUUCCACGAAAGUUUCUUAGUUUUACUUCUUA
rnacentral:misc_RNA from 1 species